rnacentral:rRNA from 1 species
ACUCCUACGGGAGGCAGCAGUGGGGAAUAUUCCGCAAUGGGGGCAACCCUGACGGAGCAAUGCCGCGUGAGUGAAGAAGGCCCUUGGGUCGUAAAGCUCUGUUUUCGGGGACGAAGAAAGUGACGGUACCCGAGUAGGAAGCCCCGGCUAACCACGUGCCAGCAGCCGCGGUAAUAC